GGGUUGUGAGGUUAAGCGACUAAGCGUACACGGUGGAUGCCCUGGCAGUCAGAGGCGAUGAAGGACGUGCUAAUCUGCGAUAAGCGUCGGUAAGGUGAUAUGAACCGUUAUAACCGGCGAUUUCCGAAUGGGGAAACCCAGUGUGUUUCGACACACUAUCAUUAACUGAAUCCAUAGGUUAAUGAGGCGAACCGGGGGAACUGAAACAUCUAAGUACCCCGAGGAAAAGAAAUCAACCGAGAUUCCCCCAGUAGCGGCGAGCGAACGGGGAGCAGCCCAGAGCCUGAAUCAGUAUGUGUGUUAGUGGAAGCGUCUGGAAAGGCGCGCGAUACAGGGUGACAGCCCCGUACACAAAAAUGCACAUGCUGUGAGCUCGAUGAGUAGGGCGGGACACGUGGUAUCCUGUCUGAAUAUGGGGGGACCAUCCUCCAAGGCUAAAUACUCCUGACUGACCGAUAGUGAACCAGUACCGUGAGGGAAAGGCGAAAAGAACCCCGGCGAGGGGAGUGAAAAAGAACCUGAAACCGUGUACGUACAAGCAGUGGGAGCACGCUUAGGCGUGUGACUGCGUACCUUUUGUAUAAUGGGUCAGCGACUUAUAUUCUGUAGCAAGGUUAACCGAAUAGGGGAGCCGAAGGGAAACCGAGUCUUAACUGGGCGUUAAGUUGCAGGGUAUAGACCCGAAACCCGGUGAUCUAGCCAUGGGCAGGUUGAAGGUUGGGUAACACUAACUGGAGGACCGAACCGACUAAUGUUGAAAAAUUAGCGGAUGACUUGUGGCUGGGGGUGAAAGGCCAAUCAAACCGGGAGAUAGCUGGUUCUCCCCGAAAGCUAUUUAGGUAGCGCCUCGUGAAUUCAUCUCCGGGGGUAGAGCACUGUUUCGGCAAGGGGGUCAUCCCGACUUACCAACCCGAUGCAAACUGCGAAUACCGGAGAAUGUUAUCACGGGAGACACACGGCGGGUGCUAACGUCCGUCGUGAAGAGGGAAACAACCCAGACCGCCAGCUAAGGUCCCAAAGUCAUGGUUAAGUGGGAAACGAUGUGGGAAGGCCCAGACAGCCAGGAUGUUGGCUUAGAAGCAGCCAUCAUUUAAAGAAAGCGUAAUAGCUCACUGGUCGAGUCGGCCUGCGCGGAAGAUGUAACGGGGCUAAACCAUGCACCGAAGCUGCGGCAGCGACGCUGAUGCGUUGUUGGGUAGGGGAGCGUUCUGUAAGCCUGCGAAGGUGUGCUGUGAGGCAUGCUGGAGGUAUCAGAAGUGCGAAUGCUGACAUAAGUAACGAUAAAGCGGGUGAAAAGCCCGCUCGCCGGAAGACCAAGGGUUCCUGUCCAACGUUAAUCGGGGCAGGGUGAGUCGACCCCUAAGGCGAGGCCGAAAGGCGUAGUCGAUGGGAAACAGGUUAAUAUUCCUGUACUUGGUGUUACUGCGAAGGGGGGACGGAGAAGGCUAUGUUGGCCGGGCGACGGUUGUCCCGGUUUAAGCGUGUAGGCUGGUUUUCCAGGCAAAUCCGGAAAAUCAAGGCUGAGGCGUGAUGACGAGGCACUACGGUGCUGAAGCAACAAAUGCCCUGCUUCCAGGAAAAGCCUCUAAGCAUCAGGUAACAUCAAAUCGUACCCCAAACCGACACAGGUGGUCAGGUAGAGAAUACCAAGGCGCUUGAGAGAACUCGGGUGAAGGAACUAGGCAAAAUGGUGCCGUAACUUCGGGAGAAGGCACGCUGAUAUGUAGGUGAAGUCCCUCGCGGAUGGAGCUGAAAUCAGUCGAAGAUACCAGCUGGCUGCAACUGUUUAUUAAAAACACAGCACUGUGCAAACACGAAAGUGGACGUAUACGGUGUGACGCCUGCCCGGUGCCGGAAGGUUAAUUGAUGGGGUCAGCGCAAGCGAAGCUCUUGAUCGAAGCCCCGGUAAACGGCGGCCGUAACUAUAACGGUCCUAAGGUAGCGAAAUUCCUUGUCGGGUAAGUUCCGACCUGCACGAAUGGCGUAAUGAUGGCCAGGCUGUCUCCACCCGAGACUCAGUGAAAUUGAACUCGCUGUGAAGAUGCAGUGUACCCGCGGCAAGACGGAAAGACCCCGUGAACCUUUACUAUAGCUUGACACUGAACAUUGAGCCUUGAUGUGUAGGAUAGGUGGGAGGCUUUGAAGUGUGGACGCCAGUCUGCAUGGAGCCGACCUUGAAAUACCACCCUUUAAUGUUUGAUGUUCUAACGUUGACCCGUAAUCCGGGUUGCGGACAGUGUCUGGUGGGUAGUUUGACUGGGGCGGUCUCCUCCUAAAGAGUAACGGAGGAGCACGAAGGUUGGCUAAUCCUGGUCGGACAUCAGGAGGUUAGUGCAAUGGCAUAAGCCAGCUUGACUGCGAGCGUGACGGCGCGAGCAGGUGCGAAAGCAGGUCAUAGUGAUCCGGUGGUUCUGAAUGGAAGGGCCAUCGCUCAACGGAUAAAAGGUACUCCGGGGAUAACAGGCUGAUACCGCCCAAGAGUUCAUAUCGACGGCGGUGUUUGGCACCUCGAUGUCGGCUCAUCACAUCCUGGGGCUGAAGUAGGUCCCAAGGGUAUGGCUGUUCGCCAUUUAAAGUGGUACGCGAGCUGGGUUUAGAACGUCGUGAGACAGUUCGGUCCCUAUCUGCCGUGGGCGCUGGAGAACUGAGGGGGGCUGCUCCUAGUACGAGAGGACCGGAGUGGACGCAUCACUGGUGUUCGGGUUGUCAUGCCAAUGGCACUGCCCGGUAGCUAAAUGCGGAAGAGAUAAGUGCUGAAAGCAUCUAAGCACGAAACUUGCCCCGAGAUGAGUUCUCCCUGACUCCUUGAGAGUCCUGAAGGAACGUUGAAGACGACGACGUUGAUAGGCCGGGUGUGUAAGCGCAGCGAUGCGUUGAGCUAACCGGUACUAAUGAACCGUGAGGCUUAACCUUACAACGCCGAAGCUGUU
rnacentral:rRNA from 1 species